UAUUUAUCUUUUCUAAGUAAUAAUAUAUUUAAUCAAAAGAGUUCGGAGUAUAAACCCUUUUGUACUCAUAAGUUUUCGACCGUUAAACCUACUCUUUGAUCAUUUCCAUCUAUUAGUUCAUACUAUUCAACCAACCGCCCACCCAACGUUAGGGAACCACUAUCAUCCUAACUACACAUUCUGCCAUCUAAUGAUCGAAAACUUACAAGUAUAAAAGGGUCUAUAUUCCUAAAAGAGUAUGGUAG
rnacentral:lncRNA from 1 species